rnacentral:rRNA from 1 species
UACGUAGGGGGCAAGCGUUGUCCGGAUUUAUUGGGCGUAAAGAGCGUGUAGGCGGCCUGACAGGUCUGCUGUGAAAACUCGAGGCUCAACCUCGAGAUGUCGGCGGAAACCGUCUGGCUAGAGUCCGGAAGAGGAGAGUGGAAUUCCUGGUGUAGCGGUGAAAUGCGUAGAGAUCGGGAGGAACAUCAGUGGCGAAGGCGGCCAUCUGGGACAACACGUGACGCUGAGGCACGAAAGCGUGGGGAGCAAACAGG